ensembl:lncRNA
AGGGAUCCGUAGCAGACCUGACGGGAAUACCGGUUUACGUUGGAGUUACAAAUUUAAGGGAUGUCAUACAGGAGGAAUAAUUAAAUUGCUGUGAUGUUGAACAAAAAUACUAGAAAAGCUGCUAACAAAUUGCCAAAGCAUUAAUAAUGGCAUUUGGAGUUUCUUUUGGAAGUCUUUGAUGGCUUCCUCCGAGUGCAGUUAUUGUCUUGCUCCAACUUAGCUAUUUGCAGCUGGGUCAUACUCGGUGUCCUGGG